rnacentral:rRNA from 1 species
GACGAACGCUGGCGGCGUGCUUAACACAUGCAAGUCGAACGGAAAGGCCCUGCUUUUGUGGGGUGCUCGAGUGGCGAACGGGUGAGUAACACGUGAGUAACCUGCCCUUGACUUUGGGAUAACUUCAGGAAACUGGGGCUAAUACCGGAUAGGAGCUCCUGCUGCAUGGUGGGGGUUGGAAAGUUUCGGCGGUUGGGGAUGGACUCGCGGCUUAUCAGCUUGUUGGUGGGGUAGUGGCUUACCAAGGCUUUGACGGGUAGCCGGCCUGAGAGGGUGACCGGCCACAUUGGGACUGAGAUACGGCCCAGACUCCUACGGGAGGCAGCAGUGGGGAAUACUGCACAAUGGGCGGAAGCCUGAUGCAGCAACGCCGCGUGCGGGAUGACGGCCUUCGGGUUGUAAACCGCUUUCGCCUGUGACGAAGCGUGAGUGACGGUAAUGGGUAAAGAAGCACCGGCUAACUACGU